UGGGGAAUCUUGCGCAAUGGCCGCAAGGCUGACGCAGCGACGCCGCGUGUGGGAUGACGGCCUUCGGGUUGUAAACCACUGUCGGGAGGAACGAAUACGCGCCUCAGGCGUGGGUGACGGUACCUCCAAAGGAAGCACCGGCUAACUCCGUGCCAGCAGCCGCGGUAAUACGGAGGGUGCGAGCGUUGUCCGGAAUCACUGGGCGUAAAGGGCGCGUAGGUGGCCCGUUAAGUGGCUGGUGAAAUCCCGGGGCUCAACUCCGGGGCUGCCGGUCAGACUGGCGAGCUAGAGCACGGUAGGGGCAGAUGGAAUUCCCGGUGUAGCGGUGGAAUGCGUAGAGAUCGGGAAGAAUACCAGUGGCGAAGGCGUUCUGCUGGGCCGUUGCUGACACUGAGGCGCGACAGCGUGGGGAGCAAACAGG
rnacentral:rRNA from 1 species